rnacentral:sRNA from 1 species
AAACAAUACAAAAAAU